rnacentral:rRNA from 1 species
GAUGAACGCUGGCGGCGUGCCUAAUACAUGCAAGUCGAACGGGGAGUAGCAAUACUCUUAGUGGCGAACGGGUGAGUAACGCGUUGGUACCUGCCCCGAAGCGGGGGAUAACGGACCGAAAGGUCCGCUAAUACCCCAUGUGCUCGGUAACGAGUAAAGGUGAAAACCACUUUGGGAGGGGCAUUCGUCCCAUCAGCUAGUUGGUAAGGUAACGGCUUACCAAGGCGAUGACGGGUAGGGGACCUGAGAGGGUGGCACACCACAAUGGAACUGAAACACGGACCAUACACGUACGGGUGGCAGCAGUAGGGAAUAUUAGGAAUGGGCGCAAGACGGAGCCAGCAACGCCGCGUGUGGGAUGACGGCCUUCUGGUUGUAAAGCACUUUUGACAGGGACGGGGAAGGACGGUACCGGUCGAAUCAGCCUCGGCUAACUACGUG